rnacentral:rRNA from 1 species
GACGAACGCUGGCGGCGUGCCUAAUACAUGCAAGUAGAACGCUGAAGGAGGAGCUUGCUUCUCCGGAUGAGUUGCGAACGGGUGAGUAACGCGUAGGUAACCUGCCUGGUAGCGGGGGAUAACUAUUGGAAACGAUAGCUAAUACCGCAUAACAGUAGAUAUUGCAUGAUAUCUGCUUGAAAGGUGCAAUUGCAUCACUACCAGAUGGACCUGCGUUGUAUUAGCUAGUUGGUGGGGUAACGGCUCACCAAGGCGACGGUACAUAGCCGACCUGAGAGGGUGAUCGGCCACACUGGGACUGAGACACGGCCCAGACUCCUACGGGAGGCAGCAGUAGGGAAUCUUCGGCAAUGGGCGGAAGUCUGACCGAGCAACGCCGCGUGAGUGAAGAAGGUUUUCGGAUCGUAAAGCUCUGUUGUAAGAGAAGAACGAGUGUGAGAGUGGAAAGUUCACACUGUGACGGUAUCUUACCAGAAAGGGACGGCUAACUACGUGCCAGCAGCCGCGGUAAUACGUAGGUCCCGAGCGUUGUCCGGAUUUAUUGGGCGUAAAGCGAGCGCAGGCGGUUAGAUAAGUCUGAAGUUAAAGGCUGUGGCUUAACCAUAGUACGCUUUGGAAACUGUUUAACUUGAGUGCAGGAGGGGAGAGUGGAAUUCCAUGUGUAGCGGUGAAAUGCGUAGAUAUAUGGAGGAACACCGGUGGCGAAAGCGGCUCUCUGGCUUGUAACUGACGCUGAGGCUCGAAAGCGUGGGGAGCAAACAGG